rnacentral:rRNA from 1 species
AGACCCGUGGCGAACGGCUGCGUAACACGUUGGUACUUGCCCCGGACUCAGGGAUAACCCUCCGAAAGGAGGGCUAAUACCGGAUACCCUCGUAAGAGGAAAGAUUUUCGGUUCGGGAAAGGCCUGCGGCCUAUCAGGUAGUUGGUAAGGUAACGGCUUACCAAGCCUAUGACGGGUAGCUGAUUUGAGAGAAUGAUCAGCCAGAAUGGGACUGAGACACGGCCCAU